rnacentral:rRNA from 1 species
UAGGGAAUCUUCGGCAAUGGGGGCAACCCUGACCGAGCAACGCCGCGUGAGUGAAGAAGGUUUUCGGAUCGUAAAGCUCUGUUGUAAGUCAAGAACGAGUGUGAGAGUGGAAAGUUCACACUGUGACGGUAGCUUACCAGAAAGGGACGGCUAACUACGUGCCAGCAGCCGCGGUAAUACGUAGGUCCCGAGCGUUGUCCGGAUUUAUUGGGCGUAAAGCGAGCGCAGGCGGUUUGGUAAGUCUGAAGUUAAAGGCUGUGGCUCAACCAUAGUUCGCUUUGGAAACUGUCAAACUUGAGUGCAGAAGGGGAGAGUGGAAUUCCAUGUGUAGCGGUGAAAUGCGUAGAUAUAUGGAGGAACACCGGUGGCGAAAGCGGCUCUCUGGUCUGUAACUGACGCUGAGGCUCGAAAGCGUGGGGAGCGAACAGGAUUAGAUACCCUGGUAGUCCACGCCGUAACGAUGAGUGCUAGGUGUUGGAUCCUUUCCGGGAUUCAGUGCCGCAGCUAACGCAUUAAGCACUCCGCCUGGGGAGUACGACCGCAAGGUU